CCCAUCUUGCCUCCCAAAGGGCUGGGAUUACAGGCCUGAUCUACUGCAUCCAGCGCGAAAAGUGGUUUCUUGAGAUGGCAUCUACUCCCAGGGAUGAGGCUGUGAACAUUAUUGAAAUUACAAUAUAGGAUUUAGAACAUUACAUAAACUUUUACAAGGAAUUACAUAGAUAGGAAAAAGAGCAAAAAUUAAAAAUACUAAAAUGACACCAACAACAAAAGAAUAUUAUAUAAACUUAGUUGAUAAAGCAGCAGUGGGAUUUGAGAGUACUAACUCCAGUUUUGAAAGAAGUUGUACUAUGAGUAAAAUGCUAUCAAACAGCAUCGCAUGCUACAGAGAAAUUGUUCAUGAAAGGAGGAGUCAAUCAAUGCAGCAAACUUCACCACUGUCUUAUUUUCAGAAAUUGCCAUGGCUACUCCCACCUUUAGCUACGACCACCCCGGUCAGUCAGCAGCCAUCAACAUUGAGGUCUUGAUUCUAGAGUUCAUCACUUCGAAUAAUUGUCUCCCUCACCAGAUUUGGAGCUCCUGUUGAGGAAAAACACUUUGAAUAAAUCAAUAUCUGGAACAAAAGCAAGAAGGACCUCACCAGAUGCUGCCCCUCAAUCUUGGAUUUCCUGGCCUCCAGAACUGUUGAACCACAACUGAUACCUUCCUUAUACCCAGGCAAGAUGAUCCUGCUCUGGGUUUUGGAAGCCCCAACAUAUCACAAAUAACUGUGCACUUUGGUCUCUUGGAAUCUGAUGCUGAGUAUUUGACAAUACAACCUGCCACCCCAAACAAAUUCUGUUCUCAUGAUCUGUUCAGGACCCAGGAAAUGGAUUCUCUAUAUUUUUUUCCCUUUGUUGUGAACAAUGAUUGAUGGUUCAAAUGCUGUGAAGGUCUGUGUUUCCUUCUACUUCUGAGAUUGAAGGUGACACUGCAUCUGAAUGAAGGAAGGAGUGAGGCAGUGGCACCCAGGUUAGGGAGAACACAAUUUUCACUAACUUUUCAAAUCCUUCUUUCUUGGCAUGAGUGCAAUAGAUUAUGCAUUUAUAAUCUAUUGAUUACGACUAAUGAAAAGUCAUUUUCAUAGCCCUGAGGGUCCAUUUACUUGCCUCAUUUUGUGUCCUAAAAGGUGGUUCCACAAGUGCUUAUAAGUUUUUGUGUAUUCACAACAGUUACACAUGGUGGCUGAGGAAUAUUUUAUGCCAUUAAACAAUGCAUAUUUCUGUUGAAUUUGUAUGUAUUAUGUCUUGACUUGAAAUGCACAAAACAAAACUCUAAUUAUUUACAUUGGCAAUUAAUUGACACUAUAUUAGCUAAAAUUGGUUUUAGCUAAUAAAACUAAUAAAAUUAAUUUUACUUUUAGAAAAGUGUUGAAUAAGGUUUAAGAUUUUCAAAAAGUUACUCAACAUCACCCACCCUCAGAUAAUUGCCAAUCAAAACCACAAUAAGAGAUCACCUCACACCUCUCAGCAUGGCCAUGAUCAAACAAGACAAAACAACAGAUAACAAGUGUUGAAGAGGAUGUGGAGAAAUUGGAACGCUUGUGCGCUG
rnacentral:lncRNA from 1 species